UACGAAGGGGGCUAGCGUUGCUCGGAAUCACUGGGCGUAAAGGGUGCGUAGGCGGGUCUUUAAGUCAGGGGUGAAAUCCUGGAGCUCAACUCCAGAACUGCCUUUGAUACUGAAGAUCUUGAGUUCGGGAGAGGUGAGUGGAACUGCGAGUGUAGAGGUGAAAUUCGUAGAUAUUCGCAAGAACACCAGUGGCGAAAGGCGGCUCACUGGCCCGAUACUGACGCUGAGGCACGAAAGCGUGGGGAG
rnacentral:rRNA from 1 species